rnacentral:rRNA from 1 species
GCCGAACGCUGGCGGCGUGCUUAACACAUGCAAGUCGAACGAAGUGGCGUACGGGUGAGUACCGCGUAAUCAACCUGCCCUUCAGAGGGUGACCACCGUUGGAAACGACUGCUAAUACCGCAUACUGAAGGAGGGGAUUGCGUCGUAUUAGCUAGUUGGGGGGGUAACGGCCCACCAAGGCGAUGAUCAGUAGCCGGGCGUAGAGGAUGAACGGCCACAUUGGGACUGAGACACGGCCCAGACUCAUACGGGAGGAAGCAGUGGGGAAGCGUCCGCAAUGGACGAAAGUCUGACGGAGCAACGCCGCGUGAGGGAAGAAGUUUGUCGGAACGGAAAGCUCUGUUGUAAGAGAAGCGGUAUCUUACCAGAAAGCGAUGGCUAACUACGUGCCAGCAGCCGCGGUAAUAC